UGGGGAAUAUUGGGCAAUGGAGGCAACUCUGACCCAGCAACGCCGCGUGAGCGAUGAAGGUCUUCGGAUUGUAAAGCUCUUUAAGCGGGGACGAAGAAAGUGACUGUACCCGCAGAAUAAGCCUCGGCUAACUACGUGCCAGCAGCCGCGGUAAUACGUAGGAGGCAAGCGUUAUCCGGAAUGACUGGGCGUAAAGGGUGCGUAGGUGGCUCGAUAAGUUAGUAGCGUAAUCCCGGGGCUCAACUUCGGAACUACUACUAAAACUAUCGGGCUUGAGUGCAGGAGGGGCAGAUGGAAUUCCCAGUGUAGCGGUGGAAUGCGUAGAUAUUGGGAAGAACACCGGCGGCGAAGGCGAUCUGCUGGACUGUAACUGACACUGAGGCACGAAAGCGUGGGGAGC
rnacentral:rRNA from 1 species